CGACCGUCUACAGAGGAGCCGCCGCCGGAGCAAGCGGGUGGGCCCAGCCGAGCGCGGCGCCCUUCCGGGACGCUACGCGCUGACCCCUUCCUCCGUUCCCGUCCUCUCCUCCCGCAGCAGUUGUCUCGGAAAUUCGGAUUCAGGACGACCGCCCAUCCCAGGGGCCUGUGCACGUGCCGAGAACAGGACAUUUGCCUCUGUGGUCGCCCGGAGGGGCCCUGGAGGAGGAGGGGGCGACGGAUACAGGGAAUCGAGGUCCGCCGUGGGAAUGAUCCACGAACUGCUCUUGGCUCUGAGCGGGUACCCAGGGUCCAUUUUUACCUGGAACAAACGGAGUGGCCUCCAGGUGUCCCAGGACUUUCCAUUUCUCCAUCCCAGUGAAACCAGCGUGCUGAAUCGACUCUGCAGGCUCGGCACAGACUAUAUUCGCUUCACUGAGUUCAUUGAACAGUACACAGGCCAUGUGCAACAACAGGAUCACCAUGCAUCUCAGCAGGGCCAAGGUGGGUUACAUGGAAUCUACCUAAGGGCUUUCUGCACAGGGCUGGAUUCAGUUUUGCAGCCUUAUCGUCAAGCACUGCUGGAUUUGGAACAAGAGUUCCUGGCGGACCCCCAUCUGUCCAUAUCACAUGUCAAUUACUCCUUAGAUCAGUUCCAGCUCCUUUUUCCUUCUGUGAUGGUUGUAGUAGAACAAAUUAAAAGUCAAAAGCUCCUAAAACCUUUGGAAUAUCCUAAUGGUAAGAAGAUAAAGAUUCAUGGUUGUCAAAUCCUGGAAACAGUAUACAAGCACAGCUGUGGAGGUUUGCCUCCUGUUCGCAGUGCAUUAGAAAAAAUCCUGGCCGUGUGUCAUGGGGUCAUGUAUAAGCAGCUUUCAGCCUGGAUGCUACAUGGACUCCUCUUGGAUCAGCAUGAAGAAUUCUUUAUUAAACAGGGUCCAUCUUCUGGUAAUGUCAGUGCCCAGCCAGAAGAGGAUGAGGAGGAUUUGGGCAUUGGUGGACUGACAGGAAAGCAGUUGAAAGAGCUCCAGGACUUGCGCCUGAUAGAAGAAGAGAACAUGUUGGCACCAUCUCUAAAGCAGUUUUCCCUGCGGGUGGAGAUUUUGCCAUCCUACAUCCCAGUGAGGGUUGCUGAAAAAAUCCUGUUUGUUGGAGAAUCUGUCCAGAUGUUUGAGAAUCAAAAUGUAAACUUGACUAGAAAAGGAUCCAUUUUGAAAAACCAAGAGGACACUUUUGCUGCGGAGCUGCAUCGCCUCAAGCAGCAGCCACUCUUCAGCCUGGUGGAUUUUGAGCAGGUGGUGGAUCGUAUUCGUAGUACUGUGGCUGAGCAUCUCUGGAAGCUGAUGGUAGAAGAGUCUGACUUACUGGGUCAGCUGAAGAUCAUUAAAGACUUUUACCUUCUGGGACGUGGAGAACUGUUUCAGGCCUUCAUCGACACAGCUCAACACAUGUUAAAAACACCACCCACUGCAGUAACUGAACAUGAUGUGAACGUGGCCUUCCAACAGUCGGCACACAAGGUGCUGCUAGAUGAUGACAACCUCCUCCCUCUGUUGCACUUGACAAUUGAGUAUCACGGAAAGGAGCAUAAAGAAGCUAUGCAGGCAAGAGAAGGGCCUUCUCGAGAAACUUCUCCCCGGGAAACCCCUGCGUCUGGCUGGGCAGCCCUUGGUCUUUCCUACAAAGUGCAAUGGCCGCUACAUAUUCUUUUUACCCCUGCUGUCCUGGAAAAGUACAAUGUUGUUUUCAAGUACUUACUGAGCGUGCGCCGGGUCCAGGCCGAGCUGCAGCACUGCUGGGCCCUGCAGAUGCAGCGCAAGCACCUCAAGUCCAACCAGACCGAUGCAGUCAAGUGGCGCCUGAGAAAUCACAUGGCCUUCUUGGUGGAUAAUCUUCAGUACUACCUGCAGGUAGAUGUGCUGGAGUCUCAAUUCUCACAGCUGCUUCAUCAAAUCAAUUCUACCCGAGAUUUUGAAAGCAUCCGAUUGGCUCAUGACCACUUCCUAAGCAAUUUGCUGGCUCAGUCCUUUAUCUUGUUGAAACCGGUGUUUCACUGCCUGAAUGAAAUCCUAGAUCUCUGUCAUAGCUUUUGCUUGCUGGUCAGUCAGAACCUGGGCCCGCUGGAUGAACGUGGGGCCGCCCAGCUAAGCAUCCUAGUGAAGGGACAGCAGCUGAGUCUAACAGGAAUGACAGUUUGAACCCUCCUCUCUGCAGGGCUUUAGCCGCCAGUCUUCGCUUCUAUUCAAGAUUCUCUCCAGUGUUCGGAAUCAUCAGAUCAAUUCGGAUUUGGCUCAACUACUGCUACGACUAGAUUAUAACAAGUAUUACACCCAGGCUGGUGGAACUCUGGGCAGUUUCGGAAUGUGAAAAUCUCUGCAAUCUCACCACAUUCCCAAGUCUCUUAACAGAAGAUUAACAAACAUCCCAUUCUCUAGCCACUCACUGACUGUCUGCAGCCGACUGAAAGGGCUCUACCUUUUCUCCUAGAAGGUAUUACUAAACAUCCAUGGGUACAUCCUUCCCAUUCAGAAGGGUCUAUUCCGCCUUAGGGGAGUUCUUAAUUCGCCCACCAAAUGGGUAUGUGGGGUGGGCUUUCCCUCUGCUGACCAUGGAAGAUCUGUUACAUUAAGAAUAUUGUCGGAUACUUUCAUUUUUGAGCACCUGCUAUCUGCCCUGGGAACUGUUCCAGGUGCAAGAGACACAGCAAUAAUAUAGAUUUAAAUAUAUAAUAUCUAAAGUUAGAUGUUUUGACUCAUGUGAAAAAAGAUUUAUAUUUAUAAACCGGUCAACUACUGAUGUUACCACUGAGCAAGAAGGCACCACAUAAGAUGGACUUCCCUUCACCCCACAGACUUUCUUUCCUUCUCCUUCCAAAAACUGAAAUUUGAGUCCUCCUUCUCUGAAGAAUUUUAAAAACAACUUCCAGUUAUUUCAAACUGUUAAAAAGGGCAGUUCUAGCUACUGACAGUGUAUUUAAAGUCUCCCCCCUGCCACCCACCCACACACACCCACACACACACACACACACACACACUGACAGUGUAUUUAAAGUCUCCCCCCUGCCACCCACCCACACACACACACACACACACACACACACACACUGACAGUGUAUUUAAAGUCUCCCCCCUGCCACACACACACACACACACACACACACACACACACACACACACUCCUUAAGAAAAAACAGGUCUGGUUUUCAAAGAACCAGGGGAGUUGAGGUUCUCCUUGAUCUGGCUGAACCAUUGCUGGUAAUCACUAACGUUCAUAUCAGUAUGAACCAAAAUUAUUAUCCAGAGUAACUCCUUCCAAACUGAAGAGGAAUGCAGUCGUCUGGCUUCAGUUUGUAGCCACAGAAUCUGAUCCUCAUCUCUACAUGUUCUACCGCCUCCUACACCUUAUUCCCUGCGGCUGGCAGCUAGAGAGGACUCCUCCACUGCUGUCUCUGGAACAGAGGUUGGCAAACUCUGGCCCACCACCUUUUUUUUGUAAAUAAAGUUUUUGCUGAAACACA